GUUUGCUGGCUCCCGCGGUGAUGGAUCACCGUUUCUGUGGCAUUUAAAUCCCCGGCGCUCCUCUGUCCGGGUGACGCGCAGUCGCCCCCCCAGGCAGCCCGGGCGGCGGCCGCAGCUGCGGUGGCUGCGAGGGCAGAUCCCGAGCGCUGGGGCGAAGGGGAGCACAGGCUGCCUUCUGCGCGCCGGCUCGCUCGCCCCCCCUCCGGGAGGUGGGGGCUGGGAAGCACCCCCUCCCUCCCCGUGUCCGCCCCCCUCCCCGCCGCGCACAGAAAAAGGAACUGACGAGAGGACUGUUUGCUGGACCCAUCCACAGCUGGGAGACUAAUCAGCCAUACUGAAAAUGUUCGACAUGGGUGGGGGAGGGGGGAAUGUAGCUGUUUGAAACAAACGUGUAUAAAUAAAUGAAUUGUUGACCUGGAGAUUGGUAGCUUGUUCAAGAAAGUCCAUGUCCCUGGAGUUGGGGGUUUCUGUAGGCACUUUAUUGCUCCACUUUCUAAAGCUUGGGCUGGGCCCAGUUCUGAGGCUUCCUCAUCCUGUUUCUCUGACCAAGUUACAUCUAUGGCUUGAACCUCUACAAUGAAAAAACAAAUCCAUUCCCCUGAAAGAAAGGAAGAAAGAAAGAAAGAAAGAAAGAAAGAAAGAAAGAAAGAAAGAAAGAAAGACUUCUCAGAUGCCCUAACCAUUUUCUGGAUUUCUUUUCUGAUGCCGUCUAUUGAAAAUUUUGAACAUGCCCCCUUAAUAAAUAUAUUAAAAUUGAAAAAGAA